AUAUGAUGGUAUCCAUUCAUAAUUUGUUCCAAUUGUUUGACAUUUCUAAGAAAUGGGAAUGAAUCUUUCUUACUUGAUGAGCACAGGGCCCAGUUUACGUGGGAACCGGUUGCAUGUUCAGAAGGUUUGCAUUGUAUGGAUUUGAACCUCCAAAUCCUGACAAGUAUGAACAGAAGAACAACAAUGGUGCUGAAACCCGUCCACUGACAGCUACAGACUUUGACCCUGAUCUUGAUUUGAACCUAUUGCCCAAGCGGUUUGGAAAUUCCACAAUGUUGGCCGAGUCUAUACCCAUUGCUGAAUACCAAGGCCGGCCCCUUGCCGAUCAUCCUGCUGUCAAGUAUGGACGUCGACCUGGUGCUCUGAGAGUGCCACGCGAACCGCUUGAUGCUACUACUGUUGCUGAAGGUGUCUCAGUAAUUUCUUGCUGGUA
rnacentral:misc_RNA from 1 species